GACGAACGCUGGCGGCGUGCCUAAUACAUGCAAGUCGAGCGGACAGAAGGGAGCUUGCUCCCGGAUGUUAGCGGCGGACGGGUGAGUAACACGUGGGUAACCUGCCUGUAAGACUGGGAUAACUCCGGGAAACCGGAGCUAAUACCGGAUAGUUCCUUGAACCGCAUGGUUCAAGGAUGAAAGACGGUUUCGGCUGUCACUUACAGAUGGACCCGCGGCGCAUUAGCUAGUUGGUGAGGUAACGGCUCACCAAGGCGACGAUGUGUAGCCGACCUGAGAGGGUGGUCGGCCACACUGGGACUGAGACACUGCCCAGACUCCUACGGGAGGCAGCAGUAGGGAAUCUUCCGCAAUGGACGAAAGUCUGACGGAGCAACGCCGCGUGAGUGAUGAAGGUUUUCGGAUCGUAAAGCUCUGUUGUUAGGGAAGAACAAGUGCAAGAGUAACUGCUUGCACCUUGACGGUACCUAACCAGAAAGCCACGGCUAACUACGUGCCAGCCGCCGCGGUAAUAC
rnacentral:rRNA from 1 species